AUUCAAAUUUCUCAGAACUUUGACAACAGAGCAAAACAAAGCGAGAUAUGUUGAGCCAACAAAGAAGGCGCAGUUGGAAAAUGGAGUAAUUAGUAAUGAAGUAGCAGGCAUAUUUGGAAAAUUAUGCCGAUAAGCAGGAUGGAAUUUGGGAAAAAGUGUUAUAAAUCGAGUAGCUCAUUUACGAUGUUCUCCAAACAUUUGGCGAACUUUUUUUCGCCUUUUCAACGUGCUAAGUAACAAGUUAAGAUGACUGCCAUCACGGCCGGUAAGAAACCGCAAGCAAAGGGCAGACAACCUUCCUGGAAGCUGCCUCCUGUCCCCGAGUCGAAGCUGCAGUUCAGCAAGAGCAGGUCAGCAAAUUGCUACCCUGAUCAAACGUCAACUAAAGCGCUCUGCUGUGAUUGCACUCCGUAAACGUGAAAACUAGGUGCAUGCUGAGAAAUAUCAAACAAGAAAACUCCGUGAUGGACGCCGUGAGAUGGAGUUGGCCUGAAAAAUCCAAAUUGGCUUUUGUGAUCCGUAUCCGCGGUAUCAACAAAGUUGCACAAAAAGUGCGUAAAGUUUUACAGUUCCGUCUUCGCCACAUUAAAACGGUGUGUUCAUCAAAUUGAGCAAGGCAACCAUUAAUAUGCUACGUAUGCCGAACCCUAUAUGGGGUUAUCCAAAUCUUAAAUCAGUUCGUGAAUUGAUGUACAAACGUGGAAUUGUUAAGCACAACCAUCAACGUGUCCCAAUCUCUGCUUCGUGAUCGAACGCAAAUUUCGCGUAGCCCACGAAAUUCAGUGCGUUGAUUAUUUGGCGCACGAAAUAUUCACUGUUGGAACCCACUUCAAGAAAGCCUCCAACUUCCUGUUACUAUUCAAGCUCAACACGAUCAACCCGAGGCCGGCGCAAGAAGGCUAAUCACUACGUUGAGGUUGGUGAUUUCGGUAGCCGUGAGGAUAAUAUCAACAAAUUGCUGCACAAGAUGGCUUAAAGAAAUUUUUGUUUUGU